UGCUUUCGCUGCUGUCGUCUGGAGCUGCGUCUGGUUGACGUUCUUCAGAGCACCGCCGAAGGUGCCAAAGGCCGUUCGCUUUGCGGCCACAAUGUAGAUGCCUGAAGAGCACAAGAGAUAAGCACAUAGUCCAAAGUACACAGUCGCUCCCCCCUUGCCCAUCACAUUCCCAUUCGUUACUGUUAAAAGCACUAGGGGGCAACAGGAGAGACAGAGAGGCAGAUAAGACGUCAACAAGUCCAAAGUUCACUUUGGCUUGAUGAUGAUGUAUCGCAGAAUUGGGACAAACACAUAAAAUACAAUAACAAACAGACAAACCUUUAGUAACUGCGGACAUUUUGCACAAAUUAAAAUCUUAAUUGUUUAACGUACAAUAUAAAAAUAAAACUGAUAUCUAUAUAAAA